UUAAAGUAGUAAGGGCGCAGGGUGGAUGCCUUGGCACUAAGAGCCGAUGAAAGACGUGAUAAGCUGCGAAAAGCUUCGGGGAGGAGCACAUAUCCAAUGAUCCGGAGAUAUCUGAAUGGGGAAACCCGGCAGAGGAAACCUCUGUCAGCGUGCAGUGAAUACAUAGCUGUACGUGGGGAACCCGGGGAACUGAAACAUCUAAGUACCCGGAGGAAGAGAAAGAAAAUUUAUCGAUUUCCAAAGUAGCGGCGAGCGAAAUGGAAAGAGCCCAAACCGUGAUGCGUGCAUCGCGGGGUUCGGACUGCGUUGUGGCAGACGUAAGAUAGGAGAACGGACUGGGAAGUCCGGCCGGAGAGAGUGAAAGCCUCGUAUCCGAAAUCCCAAGUCGCCUAGCAGGAUCCAGAGUAGGACGAGACACGAGAAACCUUGUCUGAACGAGCGGGGACCACCCCGUAAGGCUAAAUACUUCUUAGUGACCGAUAGCGCAUAGUACUGUGAAGGAAAGGUGAAAAGUACCCCGGGAGGGGAGUGAAAGAGAACCUGAAACCCUGUGUCUACAAGCUGUGGGACCUCUUUAUAUGAGGGACUGCGUACUUUUUGUAGAACGGUCCGGCGAGUUGUGCGUACUGGCGAGGUUAAGGACUUAAGGUCUGGAGCCGAAGUGAAAGCAAGCGUUAAUAGCGCGUCAAGUCAGUGAGUGCAGACCCGAAACCGGGUGACCUAUCCAUGUCCAGGUUGAAGCUUCCGUAAGAGGAAGUGGAGGACCGAACCCACAUCCGUUGAAAAGGGUGGGGAUGAGGUGUGGAUAGCGGAGAAAUUCCAAUCGAACCCGGAGAUAGCUGGUUCUCCUCGAAAUAGCUUUAGGGCUAGCCUCGAUACAGAUUUGCGGAGGUAGAGCACUGAAUUUCCUAGGGGGCGUCAAAGCCUACCGAAGAAUAUCAAACUCCGAAUGCCGCGUAAUCGAUUAUCGGGAGUCAGACUGCACGAGAUAAGUUGGGCGGUCAAAAGGGAAAGAGCCCAGACCUUCAGUUAAGGUCCCCAAGUGCGCGUUAAGUGGAAAAGGAUGUGGGAUUUCGAAGACAACCAGGAUGUUGGCUCAGAAGCAGCCAUCCAUUCAAAGAGUGCGUAAUAGCUCACUGGUCGAGAGGUCCUGCGCCGAAAAUGUCCGGGGCUGAAACGCGCCACCGAAACUAAGGAACCGAAAGGUUGGUAGAGGAGCAUUGCAUGCGGGAAGAAGCAGUACCGUAAGGAGCUGUGGACUGCAUGGAAGAGAGAAUGCCGGAAUGAGUAGCGAGAAUAAGGUGAGAAUCCUUAUGGCCGAAUAUCCAAGGUUUCCAGAGUAAAGCUGAUCUGCUCUGGGUAAGUCGGGGCCUAAGGCGAGGACGAGAGUCGUAGCCGAUGGACAACAGGUGGAGAUUCCUGUACUGCGGUAUGACAGAACUGUGGGGACACGUAAGGAAAGCGGAAGCCGGGAAUGGAAAGCCCGGUGCAAGCGGGGUACCAGUCACUUUGGCAAAUCCGGGUGGCAAUGGGAAGCCGUGAUGCGGAGCGAAAUAAAGUAGCGAAGUCCGUGAGCCAUGCGUCAAGAAAAGCCGCUAUCGUUUAUACCGUACCCGUACCGUAAACCGACACAGGUGGAUGAGGAGAGAAUCCUAAGGCCGGCGGAAGAAGCAUUGUCAAGGAACUCGGCAAAAUGGCCCCGUAACUUAGGGAUAAGGGGUGCCUGGGAAACCAGGCCGCAGAGAAUAGGCUCAAGCAACUGUUUAGCAAAAACACAGGUCUAUGCGAAACCGAAAGGUGAGGUAUAUGGGCUGACGCCUGCCCGGUGCUGGAAGGUUAAGAGGAGAGGUUAGCGGUAACGCGAAGCUUUGAAUUUAAGCCCCAGUAAACGGCGGCCGUAACUAUAACGGUCCUAAGGUAGCGAAAUUCCUUGUCGGGUAAGUUCCGACCCGCACGAA
rnacentral:rRNA from 1 species